rnacentral:tRNA from 1 species
AUCCCGGUAGCACAAACGGAUAGUGCGUUGGACUUCUUAUCCAAAGGUCGUGGAUUCGAAUCCCACCUGGGAUG